rnacentral:rRNA from 1 species
UAACGAAUCUUCCGCAAUGCGCGAAAGCGUGACGGAGCAAUGCCGCGUGCAGGAUGAAGCUCCUCGGAGUGUAAACUGCUGUCAGGGUUUAGCAACACAAUGAGCAGACCCAAAGGAAGGGCCGGCUAACUUCGUGCCAGCAGCCGCGGUAAUACGAAGGGCCCGAGCGUUGCGCGGAAUCACUGGGCUUAAAGCGUACGCAGGCGGGCGCGCAGGCGUCUUGUGAAAGCCCUCGGCUCAACCGAGGAACUGCUUGACGAACCGCGUGUCUUGAGGCAAGUAGGGGCUGUCGGAACGAUAGGUGGAGUGGUGAAAUGCGUUGAUAUCUAUCGGAACGCCGAAGGAGAAAUCAGGCAGCUGGGCUUGUCCUGACGCUGAGGUACGAAAGCGUGGGGAGCGAACGGGAUUAGAUACCCCCGUAGUCC